rnacentral:ncRNA from 1 species
CGGCCUGAGGUCGGACGAGGCUACCCGCUGAAUUUAAGCAUAUUACUAAGCGGAGGAAAAGAAACUAACGAGGAUUCCCUCAGUAACGGCGAGUGAAGCGGGACGAGCCCAGCGCCGAAUCCGGCCGCUUAUGGAGCGGACGGAAUUGUGGCGU